rnacentral:rRNA from 1 species
CUACUUGAUGCAUAUUGCUUGGCUUCAGGCCAAAGGGUAAACUAUGAUAAAUCGUCCAUAUUUUUCAGUAAGGGAUGCCCGGAGACCCUUAGGGUGGAGAUAAAGAAUAUACUUAAUGUGCAGAAUGAGUCUUUGAGUGAAAAGUAUUUGGGUCUGCCGACCGAUGUUGGACAGUCCAAAAAUGGCACCUUCAAAUAUUUACGAGACAGAGUUUGGGAAAGGAUAAAGGGAUGGAUGGAGAAACUUUUAUCAGUGGCAGGAAAGGAGGUUCUCAUAAAAUCUGUGGCUCAAGCUUUACCAGUGUUUUCGAUGUCUUGCUUCAGAUUACCUCGAGGCCUUUGUGGAAGCAUUACGUCACUCAUUCGUCAGUUUUGA